CCUACGGGAGGCAGCAGUGAGGAAUAUUGGUCAAUGGCCGGGAGGCUGAACCAGCCAAGUCGCGUGAGGGAAGACGGCCCUACGGGUUGUAAACCUCUUUUGUCAGGGAGCAAGGUGCAGGUCGGGACCUGCUGUGAGAGUACCUGAAGAAAAAGCAUCGACUAACUCCGUGCCAGCAGCCGCGGUAAUACGGAGGAUGCGAGCGUUAUCCGGAUUUAUUGGGUUUAAAGGGUGCGCAGGCGGAGGCACAAGUCAGCGGUAAAAUCGCGGGGCUCAACCCCGCUCCGCCGUUGAAACUGUGGCCCUUGAGUGCGCGAAGGGUAGGCGGAAUGCGUGGUGUAGCGGUGAAAUGCAUAGAUAUCACGCAGAACUCCGAUCGCGAAGGCAGCCUACCGGCGCGCAAAUGACGCUCAUGCACGAAAGCGUGGGUAUCGAACAGGAUUAGAUACCCUUGUAGUC
rnacentral:rRNA from 1 species